GGCAGCACGGGAGCUUGCUCCUGGUGGCGAGUGGCGAACGGGUGAGUAAUAUAUCGGAACGUGCCCAGUAGUGGGGGAUAGCCCGGCGAAAGCCGGAUUAAUACCGCAUACGAUCUACGGAUGAAAGCGGGGGAUCGCAAGACCUCGCGCUAUUGGAGCGGCCGAUAUCUGAUUAGCUAGUUGGUGAGGUAAAGGCUCACCAAGGCGACGAUCAGUAGCUGGUCUGAGAGGACGACCAGCCACACUGGAACUGAGACACGGUCCAGACUCCUACGGGAGGCAGCAGUGGGGAAUUUUGGACAAUGGGGGAAACCCUGAUCCAGCAAUGCCGCGUGAGUGAAGAAGGCCUUCGGGUUGUAAAGCUCUUUUGUCAGGGAAGAAACGGUUCUGGCUAAUAUCCAGAGCUAAUGACGGUACCUGAAGAAUAAGCACCGGCUAACUACGUGCCAGCAGCCGCGGUAAUACGUAGGGUGCAAGCGUUAAUCGGAAUUACUGGGCGUAAAGAGUGCGUAGGCGGUUGUGCAAGACAGAUGUGAAAUCCCCGGGCUUAACCUGGGAAUUGCAUUUGUGACUGCACGGCUAGAGUGUGUCAGAGGGGGGUAGAAUUCCACGUGUAGCAGUGAAAUGCGUAGGGAUGUGGAGGAAUACCGAUGGCGAA
rnacentral:rRNA from 1 species